UACGGGGGGGGCAAGCGUUGUUCGGAAUUACUGGGCGUAAAGCGCACGUAGGCGGAUUGUUAAGUCAGAGGUGAAAUCCCGGAGCUCAACUUCGGAACUGCCUUUGAUACGUGCAAUCUAGAGUCCGGAAGAGGUUAGUGGAAUUCUCAGUGUAGAGGUGAAAUUCGUAGAUAUUGGGAAGAACACCAGUGGCGAAGGCGGCUAACUGGUCCGGUACUGACGCUGAGGUGGCGAAAGC
rnacentral:rRNA from 1 species